GACGAACGCUGGCGGCGUGCCUAAUACAUGCAAGUCGAACGCAUUUUCUUUCACCGUAGCUUGCUACACCGAAAGAAAAUGAGUGGCGAACGGGUGAGUAACACGUGGGUAACCUGCCCAUCAGCGGGGGAUAACACUUGGAAACAGGUGCUAAUACCGCAUAAUUCCAUUUACCGCAUGGUAGUUGGGUGAAAGGCGCUUUUGCGUCACUGAUGGAUGGACCCGCGGUGCAUUAGCUAGUUGGUGGGGUAACGGCCUACCAAGGCUGGGAUGCAUAGCCGACCUGAGAGGGUGAUCGGCCACACUGGGACUGGGACACGGCCCAGACUCCUACGGGAAGGAGCAGUAGGGAAUCUUCGGCAAUGGGCGCAAGUCUGACCGAGCAACGCCGCGGGAGUGAAGAAGGUUUUCGGAUCGUAAAACUCUGUUGUUGGGGAAGAACAAGGAUGAGAGUGGAAAGUUCAUCCCUUGACGGUAUCUAACCAGAAAGCCACGGCUAACUACGUG
rnacentral:rRNA from 1 species